CAGAGUAGCAGCUGUGUUAGUCUGUAUUCGCAAAAAGAGGAGUGCUUGUGGCACCUUAGAGACUAGCAGGUUUGUUGGAGCAUGGGCUUUCGUGGGCUACAGCUCACUUCAUCGGAUGCAUCCGAUGGGGUGAGCUGUGGCUCGCGAGGGCUUGUGCUCUGGUGAAUUUGUUGGUCUCUGGGGUGCCACAAGUACUCCUUUUCUUUUUCAGAAUACAGACUAACACGGCUGCUACUCUGAAACCUCUCCUUACAAGCAGGAGAUAUGUUCAUACUAAAAGCA